rnacentral:lncRNA from 1 species
UGGGACAUUUUUAGAAUCAACUAAAUUCAGUAAAACAAUUUAGAAUCAAACCCUAAUUUAGAAUGAGAAAGAGUAAUAUAAUUUAAACACAUAAAAUAAUAUACCAACAUUAGAAACUAAAGAUCGAAACCAAAAAGUAAAAUGUUGUAAGGUUUGAAAUUUCUUAUUAAGAAAUGGAGCAAAAGUAACAUGUUGAUAUCAAGAGAAUCAUUUUAGGGAGAGGUUUGGCCGCUACUUUUAGCCACACCACCACCUUUGAUAGUGAGUGAUAGAGCGAUAAGGAUGUUUACCAUUCAGAUAAUAUGAACACAUCCCUUGCGUAGAGACAUCAAAUCCACUCGGUAAAUCAGAUUUGGCUGCUGCCUUGGCUCAAUUCCACUUGGAAAGUUUGUCUUUUGGUGUAUGAAUUCAAUUCCUCCAUCUUCUUUUUCUGCACCGGAGGCAAUUAGAAGAAUAUGAGAAAUGAAAAUUCAACCCACAUAUCAAACUUUUGCUUUUUUGCUACGUGUACAUUCAUCUCUCGCUAUGUAUCGUGAAAUCAUAUACUUGAGAUUGGAUUGAAAUGGGUGGCUAACAAUCAAAACUCCAGAUUGGACUAAAAUGGUGUUUAUGAAUCAUAGAAUGAUUUUUUUCUAAUCGGAGAAUGAGAAGAGAUGAU